rnacentral:rRNA from 1 species
CUGACGUUAGCGGCGGACGGGUGAGUAACACGUGGGUAACCUACCUAUAAGACUGGGAUAACUCCGGGAAACCGGGGCUAAUACCGGAUAACACAUGAAACCGCAUGGUUUCAUGAUGAAAGACGGUUUUGCUGUCACUUAUAGAUGGACCCGCGGCGUAUUAGCUAGUUGGUAAGGUAACGGCUUACCAAGGCAACGAUACGUAGCCGACCUGAGAGGGUGAUCGGCCACACUGGAACUGAGACACGGUCCAGACUCCUACGGGAGGCAGCAGGC